GAGUUCUGCAGUUGCUCUACUGAUGGGCUGUGAGAAUCUUUAUUGCUGCUCAGCACAACUGGCUGUGCAAGUCUUUAUGUAAGAGACUUGCCUCCUUCACGUGGCUCCGUCUGCUCCACAUACUGAAAGAACUGAGUUGAAAUUCAACUGAAUUAACAGCUAUAACUGAGACCAGUGGAAAAAAUGAGAAGCAGUUCCCUCUACACAUACAGGGGUGUAAGAAGAAGGCAUGAGAAAUGUAUCACUUGACAGGACUCAUCAUGAAAGCGAAGCUGCAUUUCAGAACAUUUUUGUCAUUCCAAUGGAUACCAAAGCAGAACAAACAGAUCACCCAGACAUACACCAGACUGAAGAACAAGGAGGACUGGUGACAGAACAUUCAGUAAACAUAACAUCAAACUGACACAGUAUCCAGUGACAGGGGGAUGGUGAAAGUAAUACCAAAAUUGCAGUAGUGUCCCAAACAUUAACUAUCUAGACUGCAGAUCUAAAAAGCACAAAGAAUGAACCUUGUAUGCAAUGCAGAUUGCUUGGAAGCAGAGUUACAGCUUUAAAUUGUUCUCAAUC